GAUGAAGAACGCAGUGAAAUGCGAUAAGUAGUGUGAAUUGCAGAAUUCAGUGAAUCAUCGAAUCUUUGAACGCACAUUGCGCCCCUUGGUAUCCCGAGGGGCAUGCCUGUUCGAGCGUCAUUUCACCACUCAAGCCUGGCUUGGUGUUGGGCGACGUCCCCUUUGGGGACGCGCCUCGAAACGCUCGGCGGCGUGGCACCGGCUUUAAGCGUAGCAGAAUCUUUCGCUUUGGAAGUCGGGGCCCCGUCUGCCGGAAGACCUACUCGCAAGGUUGACCUCGGAUCAGGCAGGGAUACCCGCUGAACUUAAGCAUAUCAAUAAGCGGAGG
rnacentral:misc_RNA from 1 species